GAUGAACGCUGGCGGCGUGCCUAAUACAUGCAAGUAGAACGCUGAAGGAGGAGCUUGCUCUUCUGGAUGAGUUGCGAACGGGUGAGUAACGCGUAGGUAACCUGCCUGGUAGCGGGGGAUAACUAUUGGAAACGAUAGCUAAUACCGCAUGACAACAGUUAUUGCAUGAUAACUGUUUAAAAGGGGCAACUGCUCCACUACCAGAUGGACCUGCGUUGUAUUAGCUAGUUGGUGAGGUAACGGCUCACCAAGGCGACGAUACAUAGCCGACCUGAGAGGGUGAUCGGCCACACUGGGACUGAGACACGGCCCAGACGCCUACGGGAGGCAGCAGUAGGGAAUCGUCGGCAAUGGACGGAAGUCUGACCGAGCAACGCCGCGUGAGUGAAGAAGGUUUUCGGAUCGUAAAGCUCUGUUGUAAGAGAAGAACGAGUGUGAGAGUGGAAAGUUCACACUGUGACGGUAACUGACCAGAAAGGGACGGCUAACUACGUG
rnacentral:rRNA from 1 species